rnacentral:tRNA from 1 species
UUCCAGGUAGCUUAAUGGUAAAGCACCCAACCGGCAAUUGGGGAUCUGGGUUGAAGUCCCAUCCGGGGCU